UACAGAGGUCUCAAGCGUUGUUCGGAUUCAUUGGGCGUAAAGGGUGCGUAGGCGGCGCGGUAAGUCGGGUGUGAAAUCUCGGAGCUUAACUCCGAAACUGCAUUCGAUACUGCCGUGCUUGAGGACUGGAGAGGAGACUGGAAUUUACGGUGUAGCGGUGAAAUGCGUUGAUAUCGUGAGGAACACCGGAGGCGAAAGCGGCUCACUGGGGGCUUAUCUGACGCGUGAGGCA
rnacentral:rRNA from 1 species